UACAGGGGGUGCAAACGUUGCUCGGAAUCAUUGGGCGUAAAGCGCACGUAGGCGGUUCGUUAUGUCGGAUGUGAAAGCCCUUGGCUUAACCGAGGAAGUGCAUCCGAAACUGGCGAGCUAGAGUACGAAAGAGGAUCGCGGAAUUCCCGGUGUAGAGGUGAAAUUCGUAGAUAUCGGGAGGAACACCAAUGGCGAAGGCAGCUUGCUGGGACGGUACUGACGCUGAGACGCGAAGGCGUGGGGAGCAAACAGG
rnacentral:rRNA from 1 species